AUGAGAAGGAAGGCCAUGUUCACGGUGGGAAAGAGCAAGGGGGUGGUGGCAUCGCUGAUGCACAGGAGGCCCUUCCAGCACAUGGUGCUGAGGAGGCUCAGGGAGCUCAAGAAGAUAGUCCCCGAUGCCCGGGACGCGGACGUCGACGUGCUGCUCCGGCAGACCGCCGAGUACAUCUGCAUCCUGGAGCUCAAGGUGGCCGCCCUGCGGAGGCUCUCCGCCAUCUACGGUGCGUGA
rnacentral:rRNA from 1 species